GUUAAUGUAGCUUAAUUACAAAGCAAGGCACUGAAAAUGCCUAGAUGAGUACGCACUACUCCAUAAACA
rnacentral:tRNA from 1 species